CCCUUAGAUGUUCUGGGCCGCACGCGCGCUACACUGAUGCAUCCAACGAGUCUAAAACCUGCUCUGAUAGGGGUGGGUAAUCUUUUGAAUGUGCAUCGUGAUUGGGAUAGAUGAUUGCAAUUUUUCAUCUUCAACGAGGAAUACCUAGUAAACGCAAGUCAUCAGCUUGCAUUGAUUACGUCCCUGCCCUCUGUACACACCGCCCGUCGCUCCUACCGAUUGAAUGAUCCGAUGAAUAUCAUGGAUUGAGGAUUAUAGCAGGUUCGCCUGUCUUGAUCUUCGAGAAGUGAAGUAAAUCUUAUCAUUUAGAGGAAGGAGAAGUCGUAACA
rnacentral:rRNA from 1 species